GGUAAGUCCUUUAAAAGAGGGGGGGGUGGAGAAGUGGGUGAGAAUGGAAGAGAAGGAGUGGAAACAACUUUUAAUAAUCCAGAGAUACACGGCUGUGAAGCUCGGCGGAAAUUUAACAUUACUGGUCUGUUAUCCUUGGUUCUGAAAACUACUGCUUACCUUUUUUUUCCCAAUGAGCCAAUGAAGUUCACCGGUCAGCACCAGCUCCAACCUAUGAGAACCUCUGAGAACCUUCGACCUCCUAGCAACCCACUAGGACCUCCGGGUGACCCGCCUACGGCACGAGAAUUCUCGCUACUCUCCAUGGCGGCUUCAAUCUAGUCGCCGCUACUUUUUCAACAUGUUGAAAAAUUCGUAGCAACCAUAAUCAGGCCGUGACUAGUUCCCAGAAUGCGGGAACUCCUCGCUACCAUGAAGGCGACUCCCCGGCAACUACCCACGAACAUGUGGCGACCAUGUGGUGACUGCAUAGUCUCCUGCAGUCGCCUAAAAAGUUGCCAUAGUGGGACAGGCCCAUUAAGAAAAGGAAGAUUGAGGUCUUUUAAAUAAUGAAAUAACAAAGAAAAACUCAAAAGUUCCUUUGCAUGAUUUAGACUUUAGAAACACAGCGCUCUUUGACCUACCGAGUCCGUGUCGACCAGUUAUCACCCCAUACAGUAGCACUAUCCUACACACUAGAGGCAAUUUACAAUAUUUUUACCAAAGACAAUAAAUCUACAAACCUGCAUGUCAGAAGAGUCUCCUUCAGAAAACCAUGCAGUUUGAGUUAGUCCCUCAAAUAGCACAUUUUAGCAUUAAUAAAGCCAUUAGGAACUAUUAUCUUUCAGGCUAGUGAGGCUGAAAAACAUGCAGUGGAUUGCAGGCAUUACACCUGUUGAUGGUAUCUUGAGGAGUGUUAUACCAUUAAAAAAAUGAUUGGACCAAUUGAAAACCAUACCAAAACGACAAAAAGAUUAAUUCCUUCACAGGUACUUGGCUCUGAAAUGAGUCCAAUAUUGCUGGGUUCCUAGUUAAGUAGACUUUCAACCGGACCCGACUGUUAUCCACAGAAUAAGGGGUGAUAUAGUGGUGCAGCAGUAGAGUUGCUGCCUUACAAUGUCAGAAAACCUGGUUCAAUCCUGAUUAUGGGUGCUAUCUGUACGGAGUUUGUACAUUCUCCCUGUGACUGCGUGUGUUUUCUCCGGGUGUUCUGGUUUCCUCCCACAUUCCAAAGGCAUGCAGGUUUGUAGGUUAAUUGCCUUUGGUUAAUUAUCCCUAGUGCGUAGGAUAGAACUACUGUACAUGGUUGAGUGAGCUGAAAGGCCUGUUUCCACGCUGUAUCUCGAAAUGAAACAAAACUAAAAAGUGUAAUGACACAUUUUUCUUUACUCCCCCAGGUAUUCAAACAAAAGAGCUUGAAAGUAGUGGGUCUGUAACUGCUGUAAAAGGCAGUUCUGCAGCAUUACAUUGUGCCUCUUCAAACAAAGAUCUCAAACUGGUAUUAGUUGAAUGGGAGAAGUCCGAAAACAGAACGAAACUUGGUGUGUUCCACGUGGCCACAAACGCAACAACUCCCCACAGUGAACGAAUAAAAUUGGAAGUUAAUGGACAUCGAUCCACGAUCACAAUCACAGGAGUUCAGCCAGCAGACAGUGGCUGGUACACCUGCAUAUUUCAUACCUAUCCAAACGGCAAAAUAGAGGGCAAAGUACACUUGGAUGUAAACGGGUAUGACAUAACUGCAAAGUACCGUCUUAAGAAAAAUAUCUUAAUAUACCUUGCAGUUUCAAUUGGUGCCAUAGCAAUUAUUGUUGCUGUGUUGAUUACAUGGAAGUUGAAGAGAAAGUCUUCAG